GCCCUUAUAGCACAGUGGUAGUGCGCAGCACUUGUAAUGCUGAGGUCCUCGGUUCAAUCCCGAGUGGGGGCA